CCAGCAAAGAGUUAUGAAGACUUUAGUUCAUAGAUCUUCUACCUUGAUUUUCUGAUUGAUGGAGCUUGUCCAUACAGUAAUGAGCCAUCUUUAUUUGCUGAACUGUACUGUAAAAUUGGUUUCUACACUCUUUAAUUGGUUUAUGACUUGCUCAUAUAUUCAUGUAGCUAGGUUCCUGCAAAUUUGGUUUAAGAGAUGUCUACGUCUAGCUGGGCUCCAAGAAAGGAGAUUCUUUGUUGUCCUUUUAGGUUUGUUGGCUACCUCGGUUAAGUUUUUGCAUGUGAAUUUUUGUUUGUUCCUAUCCAAUAGAUGCUCAUAUCUAGCUAGAUUCGUAGGAUGUUUUGUUGCCUUUCUUAGUUUGUUUGGUACUUUCUUCUUUCUUUGGCGAUGAUGGGGGCAGAUUUAUCCGGGGUUCUUUUGCUAUUUGUAGAUGAAUCUUUUGUUCGUUUCUCGAUAUAGAUAAACCGAAACUGCUCCUUUUAGGCUAUCUAUGUGUCUGAAGCGCUUAACAUUGAAAUUAGUAUAUGUAGGCAUUUAUGCUACAAUGCUCCCAAUUUUUUCAAUGAUAGCUCUUGCUCCAAAGUGCACUUUCAAAGAGGUGGUGGAGGAAGAUUUCUUCUUUUUGUAUUCUUACUAUUCCACCUCCCCAUUUGAAGCUGCUAUGAAUCCAGGGUUCUUUUUUGUUUACAUUAUAAGCUCUUUUGUCAUACGCUGAUUCUGAUUUUUAUUCAAGUGUAAGCACUUGGAAGGAUGGCUUUAUUUUUCUUCUCAGGUGGGGAAUGCAAUGAUCGGGUGGUCACCUCCCUCAUAACUCAUAAGCAUCAUAUAUGGCAUCAACUUAAAGAACAUCAUACUGUACUGAACUUAUUUAUAUUCGUGUUCAGCCUGACUCAUUUUUGUUUUUUUCCUCAAUCAAGUGGUGCACCAGAGAGUGUUAUUGCUUGGUGUAGUCAGUUAAUUUCUUAGAUAGUUGCAUGCCCUUUCAUGGCUUUCAAAUAGUAUAUGUACUCAUUCACAAUUUCACUUUGUGUUGCCUACUCACAGAUGUCACUGGAAAUGUCACGGUUAUUUCUAAUGCUCACCAUUUUCCUGGCUUUCAUGGGGUCUGAUGUAAAUCAGUAAAUGGCUAUAUGACAAGAUCCGUUUGCCGAAGAAUGUGUUAUUUGAUUCUACUUUGCACCGGGUGAGUACAUCUACCGGACCCGGAGUUCUGCUUUCCAUCCAAGAGCAACUUUCAACUGCACACCUCUCUCUGUGACGGACGCCAGCAUUGGCUGUCCUCUUGCUCUCUCCGGCAAUGCUCAGGGCAAGCUUGCUUGGACUUCCCAGCCAAGCCAACUUCUGAAGCCAUGUCCUAUUAGUUAGGGAAGGGCAAUAUGGAACUACCAGGCCAAGUAUCAGGGACCAUGAAGUUUGACUAUCGUUUUACUUUGCCUAUUUUCUGUUAACAAGGUGUUUCUCUGGCUCAAGUCAAUCCCUUUUUUAUUUGCUACUGUUGGAGUGAGAAAUUGUUGUGCUUGACUGCAACUUGUCCCAUGAGAUUGCUGUUGAGAUCCUUAUUCUCACACUUGUAUUAUUAUGGAUACAGUUUUAAUUUUGUCUGCAAAGUACUGUGGUAAGUAUCA